GGGGUUUCUGCAGGAACUGAUCCCACUUGGGAUGCUUGGAGAAGGGAGGAUGGUUCUUUAAGUGUUCAUGGGGCUAAGUGUGGGCAGGAUGAUUGGGACUCCGACGAAUUGCUAGGUACUCCGGAUCCACGAGCUCUAGCUGUGUGGAGUUCGGACUCUGAGUAGAUUUGGGACACCUGGUGUUUGGGUGUGAGUGUUUGGUCACCCAGGAGAAAGGGGAAUAAAAUGGGAAUGUUUGGCCAUUGCACUUUGCGUGUGGCAAGGUGUUGCUGAGGCGCCAUUGGGAUCUCUGUGUUUCCGUGAAGACUGGACUUGGACUGUGAUUCGGAUCUGCUGAUACCAUCUGGCUUGGCUCUCGCUGUGUCUUAUCGUGGACCUGGUUUGGAUGACUGCACCCUC